CGAGGAGGUAGGGCUUACGCUUGCGUUUGUCUGUUAUAUCUUGGUGGACGAGUUGUCGCGGUUGGGACUGAGGUGCCUACAACGUGCUUUUGAGUGAGUUUGUGUCUCCGUGUGCGCCGUGUGUGGAUAGCUUGCUAUGUAUGUGCGGUUGUGUGUGGAUUGAUGCGGGCUUUAACUUGUUGCCGUUCGGGACGUUGGCGAAAUGGAGCGAUCCGACCCGUCUUGAAACACGGACCAAGGAGUCUAACAUGUGUGCAAGUGUUAGGGUGUGGAAACCCCAGCGCGAAAUGAAAGUGAAGGGCAGCGCAAGUUGUCUGAGGUAGGAAACGUUGUGGACUUCGGUCUGCGGCGUGGCACUAUCGACCGAUCAUGAACCUUCGUGGUGAAAGAUUUGAGUUUGAGCACAUAUGUUGGUACCCGAAAGAUGGUGAACUAUGCCUGAGUAGGGUGAAGCCAGGGGAAACUCUGGUGGAAGCUCGUAGCGAUUCUGACGUGCAAAUCGAUCGUCAAACUUGGGUAUAGGGGCGAAAGAAUAAUCGAACCAUCUAGUAGCUGGUUCCCUCCGAAAUUUCCCUCAGGAUAGCAGCAACUUAUUUACGAUAGUUUUAUGAGGUAAAGCGAAUGAUUAGAGGAUUCGGGGAAGAAACUUCCUCGACCUAUUCUCAAACUUUAAAUCUGUAAGACCUGCAGGUUUCUUAAU
rnacentral:rRNA from 1 species